CCUACGGGGGGCUGCAGUGGGGAAUAUUGGGCAAUGGGCGCAAGCCUGACCCAGCAACGCCGCGUGAGCGAUGAAGGUCUUCGGAUUGUAAAGCUCUGUCGCAGGGGACGAAGUAUGACGGUACCCUGUAAGAAAGCCACGGCAAACUACGUGACAGCAGCCGCGGUAAUACGUAGGGGGCUAGCGAUGGCCGGAAUUACUGGGCGUAAAGGGAGUGUAACCGGCUUGUCAAGUUAAGUGUGAAAGCCUGCGUCUUAACCGUAGAAUUGCACUUAAAACUGACUCGCUAGAGUGCAGGAGAGGUGAGUGGAAUUCCUAGUGUAGCGGUGGAAUGCGUAGAUAUUAGGAGGAACACCAGAGGCGAAGGCGGCUCACUGGACUGUAACUGACGUUGAGGCUCGAAAGCGUGGGGAGCAAACAGGAUUAGAUACCCCAGUAGUC
rnacentral:rRNA from 1 species